GCGAUCGUGGUCCAACGGUAGGACGCGGGUGCGCCACGCCCGCAGUGCCGGUUCGACUCCGGCCGGUCGCU
rnacentral:tRNA from 1 species